CGGACGGGUGAGUAAUGUCUGGGAAACUGCCUGAUGGAGGGGGAUAACUACUGGAAACGGUAGUUAAUACCGCAUAACGUCGCAAGACCAAAGAGGGGGACCUUCGGGCCUCUUGCCAUCGGAUGUGCCCAGAUGGGAUUAGCUAGUAGGUGGGGUAACGGCUCACCUAGGCGACGAUCCCUAGCUGGUCUGAGAGGAUGACCAGCCACACUGGAACUGAGACACGGUCCAG
rnacentral:rRNA from 1 species